UGGGCGUGUUUUUGGUCGAACAGAAGCAGGAGAAACAAGGGUUACCCUUGUUCUUGCAAAACUCAUCAAUUGACAAGGAAAUUCAGUGUUAAUCGGCUGCAUGUUACCAGAUUUUCGAUUAACCUAACAUCCUCUAUAAAGUGGCGUGAAGGAAGAAGGUUCAAGUACUAAGAAAUCGGAAGGCUCACAAGAUCGAGGUAAAUCCUCAUUUUAGGCGACUUGGCAAUUUGGGGCGAGCACGUGCACAUAUUAUGA